GACGAACGCUGGCGGCGUGCUUAACACAUGCAAGUCGAACGGAAAGGCCCUGCUUUUGUGGGGUGCUCGAGUGGCGAACGGGUGAGUAACACGUGAGUAACCUGCCCUUGACUUUGGGAUAACUUCAGGAAACUGGGGCUAAUACCGGAUAGGAGCUCCUGCUGCAUGGUGGGGGUUGGAAAGUUUCGGCGGGUGGGGAUGGACUCGCGGCUUAUCAGCUUGUUGGUGGGGUAGUGGCUUACCGAGGCUUUGACGGGUAGCCGGCCUGAGAGGGUGACCGGCCACAUUGGGACUGAGAUACGGCCCAGACUCCUACGGGAGGCAGCAGUGGGGAAUAUUGCACAAUGGGCGGAAGCCUGAUGCAGCAACGCCGCGUGCGGGAUGACGGCCUUCGGGUUGUAAAGCGCUUUCGCCUGUGACGAAGCGUGAGUGACGGUAAUGGGUAAAGAAGCACCGGCUAACUACGUG
rnacentral:rRNA from 1 species